AAGCUGUCAAAAUAAAUUGCCAUUAAGGCCCGUUUCCCCUAAACAAAACCAAACAUCUCCGGUGUGUAACCAAACGGUCAGCCGCCUUCUUUUUUACCUUUCGUCUCUUCAUCAGUGUUUGUAGCAGGAGUGGAUCUAUCUCAUUUCUGAUAUUCUCGAAACUUCUUCUCUGCCCAUUCUCCCUCUGUCCAGAGCUGGUAUUCUUUCCACUCUUUCUGGUGCUUCCUUGAUCCAGAACAUCGAAGAGUCGAACCAUUUUCCUUUUUGUUCCAUUUCGUGUGCUGCUCGAUUCGCCAUACGAGGUACGAAUCUAAACUUUAUAUAAUCAAAAUUCUUAAUCCUUGCUUUACUUUCUUUUAUCAAAGCAGCACUAACCGAUUCAUCUUCUAUUGCAUCCACCACUUUUUUGAUAAUGCUAAAUGAGUCCCCUUCAACCACUAUUCUCCGAAAACCUAGUUCUUCGUUAUAGACAUGUUCGUGCUUAUGCAAUUGUCGCAUCUCUCACAUGCAAAUUUGGGUAAGUGCUUGCUGCCAUUAUAAUGCUUUCGCUAUUUCUAACAAUAAUCCCUGAAACAGAGCUGUUUAUGUAAUUGUUAAAACAUGCAUCAAAAUUUACUUUGACACUAUCUCCUUCCGCUGGUUGCCAAACAGUCUCCUGUUUUUCUUGCAUGCCUUUCGAUAUAAUACCCAUGCUAUCAAUUUCUGAUAUGUAGGCGUUUCUGAAAGAAACUACUACAAAAACGUUUUGUCCCGUUCCAUUGUGAUAGACCAUAUUACGAUUGUACCAUAGGGCCUAAAAUAUCUCCUGUUGGUAACUCCGUAGCUAACCAAUUUAUCCAAUUCUGGUUCUCAAUAUUGGUCGAGUAUGUUACUCCCAUACUUUGCAGGACUUGUUCGGUAAAACGACACUCACGGAAGAUGUGCUUUGUACUCCAAUAUUUCUUUGCUGUAAAUUCGAUAAAAUGGGCAUGUAAUUUUUAAUAAUUUUCCAGCAUGUAAUUUUUAUUUUACUUGCUAGACUUAGGCUCUAUAUUUUUGUAAAGAGGGAUUUUUGUAACUCAUCUAGAUUAUCAUUGGUGGUUGUAUUUGCUGCUUCGAGCCAUCUUUACCCGCUCUUGAUCGAGUAGAUUUCGAAAUUGUCGCCCCUCCAGACCAAAUCACAGCUAGAUAAAGGCUUUAACAACCAAUUGCCAUUCAUAUAUUAAUGCUUGCACCAUUUUCCACAUGCCAACCACAACCCUGUUCCAAUUGCCUUCUAGAUGCCCAUAUGCUACGCCAGGUAUAUGAUGGUAAUUCGGAAGCUCGUUGGGUUGGAAGCUUAGCGGAGAUAUCAUCACACUAUCUAUCGGCUCAUCCCGGUAUAUUUAAUAAAUCAACUUUGGUUAUAAUGGCAUGUAUAAGUUAACCUGGCCAAUGUUAAUAUAAAAAUGUUUUGGUUGUAAUUAGUCAUUGGAAUGGCUUGUGAUGGACAAGUUUUGAUGUGAAUAUAAGAGGCUAUAUCAUGUUUGAUAUGUGUUUGAAA